rnacentral:rRNA from 1 species
CCUACGGGAGGCAGCAGUGGGGAAUCUUGCGCAAUGGGCGAAAGCCUGACGCAGCCAUGCCGCGUGAAUGAUGAAGGUCUUAGGGAUUGUAAAAUUCUUUCACCGGGGACGAUAAUGACGGUACCCGGAGAAGAAGCCCCGGCUAACUUCGUGCCAGCAGCCGCGGUAAUACGAAGGGGGCUAGCGUUGCUCGGAAUUACUGGGCGUAAAGGGAGCGUAGGCGGACAUUUAAGUCAGGGGUGAAAUCCCGGGGCUCAACCUCGGAAUUGCCUUUGAUACUGGGUGUCUUGAGUAUGAGAGAGGUGUGUGGAACUCCGAGUGUAGAGGUGAAAUUCGUAGAUAUUCGGAAGAACACCAGUGGCGAAGGCGACACACUGGCUCAUUACUGACGCUGAGGCUCGAAAGCGUGGGGAGCAAACAGGAUUAGAUACCCUGGUAGUCCACGCCGUAAACGAUGAUUGCUAGUUGUCGGGAUGNANNNAUUCGUGCGCNNCACACAUANANAUCCGCCGUGGGAGGUACGGUCGCAGAAUAAACUAACAAAGAAGUAGACGNGNGAGAGNGCGACGACGACGACGAGGGAGGAGG